rnacentral:lncRNA from 1 species
UCACAGCCAGGUGGCAGAAAUGUGAGUAAAGAAGAUCACAGCUGUUUAUGUCACACACAGCCAUUUGUGUCUUCCCAGCUGAGGCCCCAGAAAUCACGGCACAAAGAUAAGACACCCUUACUGCCCCAUUCAAAAUUCCUGAACCAUGGAAUCCAUAAACAGAACAAAAAGGUUGGAUGGGUUGAUAUGGUAUGUCAUGCAACGGUGGACAGCUGGAACACAAGACUAGAGUCUCUCAUGAAUUGUGACAGGCUCCCAGGACCUAAACCCAGAAGGAAGCAGGACCAUAUUGCUGCCUAGAGAAGGGGAUGGAGCAGAUUCCAGGACACCGAUGAAACAGAAGCUUCCAUCACAGUGCUUUCUGCUACCUUAUGAGACAGUUCGCAUCUCAACAGCUCUAGGAUACAAAGGAAGCACAUACAUUUAUACUUUAUAAGGUGGCCAAGGAAUCCUACUGUGAACAAAGAAUGUCUAAGAUAAUAAAAUUCCACUUUUUUUUUCUAUAAAAAGCAAAUCUUGUCCCAGAUGCAAGCACUUGCAACAGAAGCUCUGUGGGGGAAGCCUACCUCUCAAGGCCCUAGUUCUUGGCUCAUCCCCACCCCAUGACCUGGACAAGACCUGUGAGGGUGCCAUUUUUAGUAUCACCGUGCCUCAGUUUCUCCACCUGUGCAUGUGGAAUGAUACUGGCAGCCCCCGUAGACUUAUGGGGAUGACUGCUGAGCUGAUGUCUAUAAAAUGUUCUUAAUGGCAAGGGCGAAAGAGCUAUAAAUACAAGGUCAAAGCAGCAUUUAAAACCUUUUUAAAGCUGCAGCCACUUCUUUCUUUUGAAACAGAGAACCACAGGGAGGAUCAAAGGCGUGCUGCUGUUAACUGCGGCUCUCAAGGCCUUGCCCUCCACCUGGCAGAAACCCUAGAGAGGUCUACCAUGAUUUUUACCUUGACUAACAAAAUCUCAAGACAAGUUGUACAAUGGUUUCCUGGAACAUUCUGAGUAAAGAAAUGGGAAACCAAUACAGCUUACCUAGCUUGUUACCUUCUAUGAACGCUGGCAUUAAAAGUAAAAGGCAGCCUUGGGAGGAAGAAAUGCAAACACAGAGGGAGAACAUAGCUUCCCCUUGUCUCUCUCUGCCACAAAAGCCUGGCCAAAGUGACUCUACUAGGUUGAAGCAGCCUGCAUAAUAAAACGCUUAACCUUGGCUAAGUUAACCUCCUCAGCCAUUAAAAAAAGGGAGGGUGGGGGAAGGGCUAGCAAAAUCAAGCUUACGGGAAAUAAACCUAAUCAAAGCCGAGUAGUAACAAAGGGCACCAGAAACAUUUCUACUGUAUCACAUCCCACAGGCUGGCCAAGAGCCCGGAAUUUUCAUUACAACUUUCAAAGAGAGCAAGAGGAGGAGGGAAAAAGAUUUCACAAAAGCAUUAUCAAGGCCCCAACCCAGGAUGCCCUGCUGUACAACCAAAAUUUGUAAGAGGUCAGCCUUUCAGGGAGUCAAAAACCCAGCAUGUGGAAACUGGCAGGCCUUUUAUAUAGUGGGAGGGGUUCUUAAAACGACUACUGUUUCGCACUGAAGUCUCUGAGCUUCACAGAUCAUUAAAGGUUUCUGAACCACAGAGAAAGGAGGGCAGAGUUAAGGAAAUAAAUCAAAAGUUCCUCUGGGACGCACAAAUGCCUACUUGGAACAGGC